rnacentral:rRNA from 1 species
CCUACGGGUGGCAGCAGUGGGGAAUAUUGCACAAUGGAGGGAACUCUGAUGCAGCGACGCCGCGUGAGUGAAGAAGUAAUUAUUUAUGGUAAGCUCCAUCAGCAGGGAAGAAAGUGCCGGUACCUGAAAAAGAAGCUACGGCUAAAUACGUGCCAGCAGCCGCGGUAAUCCGUAUGGAGCAAGCGUUAUCCGGUGUUACGGGGGGUAAAGGGAGAGUAGGUGGCAGAGCAAGUCCGAAGUGAAAACCCAAAGCUCAACUAUGGGAAUGCUUUAGAAACUGGUCAGCUAGAGUGCAGGAGAGGCAAGUGGAAUGCUUAGUGUAGCGGUGAAAUGCGUAGAUAUUAGGAGGAACACCAGUGGCGAAGGCGGCUUGCUGGACUGUAACUGACACUGAGGCUCGAAAGCGUGGGGAGCAAACAGGAUUAGAUACCCUAGUAGUC